rnacentral:lncRNA from 1 species
GGUUUUUUUCUUUCAAUCUUCAAAAUUAGAGAUUGUAAAUUCAAAACAAUUGAAUAAUAAUGAAAAUGUCAUAGAAAAAUUAAGAGAAACAAACAGAAAUCAAAACAAAUCAAAAAGCGAAAAAUAGAGCCUAAGUCACUACCUCCGUCGCGGCCAACAUCGCUCAGCAGUUCCUCUCUACCAUUUCCUUUCUUUUUUCUUCUCUUUCUUUUUCCUCGUUUUCUAUCUUCUAAGUAGCCACCCCACCGAUCUAUUUCUAUUU